ACGCUCGACACCUACGGGGGCAGCAGUAGGGAAUCUUCCACAAUGGGCGCAAGCCUGAUGGAGCAACACCGCGUGAGUGAAGAAGGGUUUCGGCUCGUAAAGCUCUGUUGUUGGAGAAGAACGUGCGUGAGAGUAACUGUUCACGCAGUGACGGUAUCCAACCAGAAAGUCACGGCUAACUACGUGCAANCACCGCCGGUAAGUACUCGUAGGCGGGCGGUCGGUCGAAGGACG
rnacentral:rRNA from 1 species